rfam:Picea glauca, whole genome shotgun sequence.
AUGUAAAUUAAUACAACAUAGCAUUAAUGAACCUGAUCCCAUUAGAACUCCCCAAUUAAGAACACUCAUGCAAGAGUAGUACUAGGAUGGGUGACCACCCGAGAAGUCCUAGUGUUUUACAUG